UUAAAGCUGGCAACGGAGCAAGGAGGGCCGCAGGAGGGGGUGGGGAGUACACGCAGGUCGCGGC
rnacentral:SRP_RNA from 14 species